GACGAACGCUGGCGGCGUGCUUAACACAUGCAAGUCGAACGGAAAGGCCCUGCUUUUGUGGGGUGCUCGAGUGGCGAACGGGUGAGUAACACGUGAGUAACCUGCCCUUGACUUUGGGAUAACUUCAGGAAACUGGGGCUAAUACCGGAUAGGAGCUCCUGCUGCAUGGUGGGGGUUGGAAAUUUUCGGCGGUUGGGGAUGGACUCGCGGCUUAUCAGCUUGUUGGUGGGGUAGUGGCUUACCAAGGCUUUGACGGGUCGCCGGCCUGAGAGGGUGACCGGCCACAUUGGGACUGAGAUACGGCCCAGACUCCUACGGGAGGCAGCAGUGGGGAAUAUUGCACAAUGGGCGGAAGCCUGAUGCAGCAACGCCGCGUGCGGGAUGACGGCCUUCGGGUUGUAAACCGCUUUCGCCUGUGACGAAGCGUGAGUGACGGUAAUGGGUAAAGAAGCACCGGCUAACUACGUG
rnacentral:rRNA from 1 species